ACUCCUACGGGAGGCAGCAGUGGGGAAUCUUAGACAAUGGGCGCAAGCCUGAUCUAGCCAUGCCGCGUGAGUGAUGAAGGCCUUAGGGUCGUAAAGCUCUUUCGCCUGUGAUGAUAAUGACAGUAGCAGGUAAAGAAACCCCGGCUAACUCCGUGCCAGCAGCCGCGGUAAUACGGAGGGGGUUAGCGUUGUUCGGAAUUACUGGGCGUAAAGCGCACGUAGGCGGAUUGGAAAGUUGGGGUGAAAUCCCGGGGCUCAACCCCGGAACGGCCUCCAAAACUCCCAGUCUGGAGUUCGAGAGAGGUGAGUGGAAUUCCGAGUGUAGAGGUGAAAUUCGUAGAUAUUCGGAGGAACACCAGUGGCGAAGGCGGCUCACUGGCUCGAUACUGACGCUGAGGUGCGAAAGUGUGGGGAGCAAACAGGAUUAGAUACCCUGGUAGCGAG
rnacentral:rRNA from 1 species